GACGAACGCUGGCGGCGUGCUUAACACAUGCAAGUCGAGCGGUAAGGCCCUUUCGGGGUACGACGAGCGGCGAACGGGUAGAGUAACACGUGGGUGACCUCGCCCUUACGCUCUGGGAGUAAGCCUGGGAAACGUGGGUCGUAAUACCGGAUAUGACUCCAUGACGCAUGUUGUGGGGUGGAAAGCCUUGUGCGGCUAGGGAGUGGGCCCGCGGCCUAUCAGCUUGUUGGUGGGGUGAUGGCCUACCAAGGCGACGACGGGUAGCCGGCCUGAGAGGGCGACCGGCCACACUGGGACUGAGACACGGCCC
rnacentral:rRNA from 1 species